rnacentral:tmRNA from 1 species
GGGGCUGACCAGGUUUCGACGUGGGUUGCAAAGCAGUGCAGGGCAUACCGAGGCUCAGAUUACCUCGUAAAUACAGCUGAACAAGUAUAGUCGCAAACGACGAAACUUACUCUCUAGCCGCUUAAGACCGGCUGGACGCUGCACCACCUCUCCCGUGGGGUGGAUGGCCUUAAAACCAUGGCAGUGUCAUAUACACGGGAUACGUGUUGUGUUGGGUCACUUAGCACUUCAUUAACCUUUAGGUAACUCGUCUGCACACUGCUUGUCUGUUGGUGUGGUGCAGAUUAAACUAAACAACAAGGCUAAGUAUGUAGAACUGUCUGUGGAGGGCUUGCGGACGCGGGUUCGAUUCCCGCCAGCUCCACCA